AUAUCCUCAACCUUCUCUAUUGGAGAAGGCUUGGACUUUGGAGGCUUUUGCUGGCCUCUCUUGAAGCCAGCUCCUCUUAAACGCAUUAGCGGGGGUUUCCUUUUGGUCAAUCCUUGACGUGAUAAGAUAUUUUCUACGUUUGGGGCUUGGCUGUUUGAGACCCGCUUCUAAUGGUCUCAUAGAGACGCUUUAAUGAACC
rnacentral:misc_RNA from 1 species